CCUACGGGAGGCUGCAGUCGAGAAUCAUUCACAAUGGGGGAAACCCUGAUGGUGCGACGCCGCGUGGGGGAAUGAAGGUCUUCGGAUUGUAAACCCCUGUCAUGUGGGAGCAAAUUAAAAAGAUAGUACCACAAGAGGAAGAGACGGCUAACUCUGUGCCAGCAGCCGCGGUAAUACAGAGGUCUCAAGCGUUGUUCGGAAUCACUGGGGGUAAAGCGUGCGUAGGCUGUUUCGUAAGUCGUGUGUGAAAGGCGCGGGCUCAACCCGCGGACGGCACAUGAUACUGCGAGACUAGAGUAGUGGAGAGGGAACCGGAAUGCUCGGUGUAGCAGUGAAAUGCAUAGAUAUCGAGAAGAACACUCAUGGCGAAGGCAGGUUCCUGGACAUUAACUGACGCUGAGGCACGAAGGCCAGGGGAGCGAAAGGGAUUAGAUACCCUUGUAGUC
rnacentral:rRNA from 1 species